rnacentral:lncRNA from 1 species
CUUUGCUCAAGUUAGGGCGAGGUUCUCCUCCUGUCCCUAACAGGGCUGUGGGGGCACAUAAGGGCAUUGUAAGGCCUCUCCCCCCAUCCGGUCUAAAAGGAACCGGGCCUUCGACUUUGCUCAAGUUAGGGCGAGGUUCUCCUCCUGUCCCUAACAGGGCUGUGGGGGCAUAUAAGGGCGUUGUAAGGCCUCUCCCCCCAUCCGGUCUAAAAGGAACCGGGUCUUCGACUUUGCUCAAGUUAGGGCGAGGUUCUCCUCCUGUCCCUAACAGGGCUGUGGGGGCACAUAAGGGUGUUGUAAGGCCUCUCCCCCCAUCCGGUCUAAAAGGAACCGGGCCUUCGACUUUGCUCAAGUUAGGGCGAGGUUCUCCUCCUGUCCCUAAUAGGGCUGUGGGGGCACAUAAGGGCGUUGUAAGGCCUCUCCCCCCAUCCGGUCUAAAAGGAACCAGGCCUUCGACUUUAUGAGAUUGCCCUUUUGUUUUUGAUACAGUUUGCUUGAAUUGUCCAAAGACACAUGGGUGUGUGAUUUUCGAUUAAAACGAAGUCACUGGUAGUACAUCCGUAAGUUUUCUGAGUUCCACGGUCGCGGGAGGUCGGCUCCUCCGAGCUCCUUGAGAUAAUAAGUUCCGGGCCGAACUACUUCUUUGACCUCAUAAGGUCCCUCCCAGUUCGGGGCGAGCUUCCUCCGGUCCUGAGGUUGCGAGACAGCAGCUCGUCGAAGCACUAGAUCUCCUGCUUUAAAGGCUUUGUUCUUGACCCGGGCGUUGUGAUAUCGAGCAACUUUCUGUCUGUAGGCUGCCAUUCGAACCUGAGCAAUCUUCCGUCUUUCU